rnacentral:rRNA from 1 species
CCUUAGAGUUUGAUCCUGGCUCAGAACGAACGCUGGCGGCGUGCUUAACACAUGCAAGUCGAACGUGAUUGAGAGCUUGCUCUCAUGAAAGUGGCGCACGGGUGAGUAACACGUGGAUAAUCUGCCUGGCGAUUCGGGAUAACACUUCGAAAGGGGUGCUAAUACCGGAUAAGCCCACGGUCUCUUCGGAGAGCGCGGGAAAAGGGGGCCUCUGUAUAUGCUCCUGUCGCUAGAUGAGUC